AUGAUGAUGAUGAUGAGGAUUAGAGAACAGUGUCUUCGAAGAGUGUUCUAUAUCCUAGUAGCUGCUGUUAUAGUAUUGGUAGAGUUCGAGUACAAUAUUAUAUUGAUAAGCUCUCGAGGGGAUUUGGGUGUGAUAAGAAUCUGUCAAAAAAUUGGUAUCUUCAAUUGUGCAUUUGCACGUGUAUAAGUAUUUUUGUGGUUGACUGUGUAAUGUGGCAAUUGUUUUUCAGUGAUGGCCCCUUUUACCAACAAAAUUUUCAGCCAGUUUGCCAAAUCUGAUGCUUAUAGUGUAUUUUAUUACUCAGAUUCAGGCGGUUUCCUAUCUGUAUAGCUCAUGAUAUUUUAGAUAGUAUACAAGGAGAUAAAUUUCAAUAGAUAUCAUUUAUAACAGAGCUAUCCUAACAUAAAAUUUCUUAAACUUUGAAAUUUUGCAUGUACAGUGCUUUCGA
rnacentral:misc_RNA from 1 species